rnacentral:rRNA from 1 species
CAUGCAAGUCGAACGGUAACAGGCAUUAGUGAUCCCUUCGGGGUGAUCUUGGCGCUGACGAGUGGCGAACGGGUGAGUAAUGCUUGGGAAUCUGCCCUGUAGUGGGGGACAACCCGAGGAAACUCGGGCUAAUACCGCGUAAGCUCCACGGAGGAAAGCGGGGGAUCUUAGGACCUCGCGCUAUAGGAUGAGCCCAAGUCGGAUUAGCUUGUUGGUGGGGUAAUGGCCUACCAAGGCGACGAUCCGUAGCUGGUCUGAGAGGACGAUCAGCCACACUGGGACUGAGACACGGCCCAGACUCCUACGGGAGGCAGCAGUAGGGAAUAUUGGACAAUGGGCGCAAGCCUGAUCCAGCAAUGCCGCGUGUGUGAAGAAGGCCUGCGGGUUGUAAAGCACUUUCAGUGGGGAAGACAAACUCGAGGUUAAUACCCUCGGGUCUCGACGUUACCCACAGAAGAAGCACCGGCCAACUCCGUGCCAGCAGCCGCGGUAAUACGGAGGGUGCGAGCGUUAAUCGGAAUUACUGGGCGUAAAGCGCACGCAGGUGGCUGGGUCAGUCGGUUGUGAAAUCCCCGGGCUUAACCUGGGAAUUGCGAUCGAAACUGCCCGGCUAGAGUAUGGGAGAGGGAAGUGGAAUUCCCGGUGUAGCGGUGAAAUGCAUAGAUAUCGGGAGGAACACCAGUGGCGAAGGCGGCUUCCUGGCCCAAUACUGACA